rnacentral:rRNA from 1 species
AAGGGGCAGUAAGGCAUGGGUGACCUACCUUUGGGUUCGGGAUAGCCAUCAGAGAUGGUGGGUAUUACCGGAUGACGUCGUGAGACCAAAGAUUCAUCGCCCUCAGAGGGGCCCAUGUGAUAUUAGCUAGUUGGUGAGGUAACGGCUCACCAAGGCGAAGAUGUCUAGCGGGUGUGAGAGCACGACCCGCGCCACUCGCACUGAGACACUGGCGAGACACCUACGGGUGGCUGCAGUCGAGGAUCUUCGGCAAUGGGCGCAAGCCUGACCGAGCGACGCCGCGUGAGCGAUGAAGGCCUUCGGGUUGUAAAGCUCUUUAGUGGGGGAGAAAAGCCGAAAGGUGUGAUCUAUCCCAAAAAUAAGCACGGGCUAAGUUCGUGCCAGCAGCCGCGGUAAGACGAACCGUGCGAACGUUGUUCGGAAUCACUGGGCUUAAAGGGCGCGUAGGCGGGCUGUCAAGUCUGGGGUGAAAUCCCACGGCUCAACCGUGGAACGGCCUCAGAUACUGACGGCCUCGAGGAAGGUAGGGGCAUGCGGAACUGUAGGUGGAGCGGUGAAAUGCGUUGA